rnacentral:rRNA from 1 species
GUGAAUCAUCGAAUCUUUGAACGCACCUUGCGCCCCUUGGUAUUCCGAGGGGCAUGCCUGUUUGAGUGUCAUUAAAUUCUCAACUCUGAUUUGAUUUGUUUCUAAUCAGAGCUUGGACUUGGAGUGUGCUGGCGUCUAGUCGGCUCCUCUCAAAUGCAUCAGCGGAAUUAGAACCUUUGGUUUCCGGACGUCGGUGUGAUAAUAAAGUUGCGCCGUCUUUCGACUUCAAAGUCCGCUUAUAAUGGUCUUCGGACGAACUCUUAUAUCAAAUUUGACCUCAAAUCAGGUAGGACUACCCGCUGAACUUAAGCAUAUCAAUAAGCGGAGG